UACGUAGGGGGCAAGCGUUGUCCGGAUUUAUUGGGCGUAAAGGGCGUGUAGGCGGUUUGGUAGGUCCGUUGUGAAAACUCGAGGCUCAACCUCGAGACGCCGAUGGAAACCAUCAGACUAGAGUCCGGAAGAGGAGAGUGGAAUUCCUGGUGUAGCGGUGAAAUGCGCAGAUAUCAGGAAGAACACCCGUGGCUAAGGCGGCUCUCUAGUACGGUACUGACGCUGAGACGCGAAAGCGUGGGGAGCAAACAGG
rnacentral:rRNA from 1 species